GUCCACUGCGGGCGCUUGUUCUGCUCUUCCCCCGCGGGGGAUACUGAGGCCCCUAGGGGCUGGGGAAGCCGGGCGCAGGUCAGGUCCGGCCCUUAGUCCGGGCCUCGUCCGCUCCGCCGGGAUGGGCUCCUUGGUAUUCGCGUGUCGUCGGGGAAGAGAUUGGCAGGCCUUCUAGGCUAUGGGGCUCUCCUGGAGGCAGAUGAAAAGUCUCCCUCGGACGGCUUUGCUCGUUCUGCAGCAGCCAGCGCCCCCUGGUCUCCUGUGUCACUCUGAUCUGCACUCCCCGGUGGGUGCUACUGUCCCGCGUGUGAGGAUGUUCCUGGGUAAGUGCUGCUUGUGAACACCUUGAAGGAAGUGGGGGUGGAGGGUGUGCUCUCUGGGUUGCCUCUAGCUGGCACCAGCUCAGGCAGCAUCUGAGACCUGUCUGGAAGGCCCUGGUGCAGGAGGAAGCCUGGUGUAGUAGAUGGGGGGCUGUGUUGGGGUGGGGAGGCACAUCCUGGUUAAGUUGUUCCUGCAUUCUCCCCAGCUUGACUUCCUGUAGAGAAGCUGCAAGAUGUCUGUGAGGGCAGAGACCUGGACUGUCUUGUUGUUUUUUUUUUUUGUUUGUUUCUUUUUUGUAGAGACAGUUUCACUUUAUUGCCCUUUGUAGAGUGCUGUGGUGUCACACAGCUCACAGCAACCUCCAACUCCUGGGCUCAAGCAAUUCUACUGCCUCCGCCUCCCAAGUAGCUGGGACUACAGGCACCCGCCACAACGCCCGGCUAUUUUUUGGUUGCAGCCGUCAUUGUUGUUUGGCAGGUCCAAGCUGGAUUCGAACCACCAGCUCAGGUGUAUGUGGCUGGCACCUUAGCCGCUUGAGCCACAGGCGCCAAGCCUCCCUUCAACUCUUGAGUGGCAAAUGAUCUCUGUGAGAAUCAGAGGCAGCUUCUGUAAUCUUAGGCUGUAAGUCUGGUCAUCAUCUGGGAUGAAGGUACUGGCCUUCCUUCUCAGCAUGUCCUUUGCCCUUUUCUGCCCUGCAUUCGAAAGUGAUUGUGGGCUGCCCGUGCCCUGGUCAUUGAUAGUGCAGGGAAAGGAGUCACUGAAAGCAUUUCCCCGUGUUUGGAGGGUCCACUGCUGUCCCUUGCAAACCCUGGAGCUUUCCCACACUUCCUCCUUCCUACCACCUUCCAGUUGCCUCCUGUGCCUGUGUCAUUUUUUGAGUUGCUCUUUUCUCUGGCCCAGGGCAGGUUACUGUGAGACGGACAGGAAGGGUGUGGGAGCACAGGCUCAGCCUUAAGGAGUAGAAGAGCCAGGUGUGGAUCUGUGACAGGGCCACCGAUUCCUUCCUCCUGGAAGCUUCUGCUCCACACCUCUCCUUCCACACCCUCAGUCAAUCCCCUGAGCACCAGGAAGACCCUGUGGAGGUCGUUGCUUGACUUGUCUCCUGACUGUCUUUGCCAUGAUCUUGAGGGCUGUGUCUGAAUUUGUGUCUAGUUUUGUUCUGUUUGUCAGACGGUCAGUGCUACACAGUGUGUGACAGAUGAAAAACAAGAAAGGGAGGGCCCCUUUGUUGCAGGGGGGUAGGGCUCAUUGCAUUGUACAGUGUUGCGGGAAAAUACUGAGUAAGCAACUUGUGCAGGGGUAGGGCGGGGCGGACUGGGUGAUUUUUCCCCCCUUCGAAGAAUUCAUCAAGUGACUUAGUCGUGUUGGUCCUGGCCUUGUGUGGCCACUGGGGUAGGAUUUUCCCUCCAGUCUGGGUACAAAGGUAAGGACCAGAGAUGGGCAGAGAAGAAUGAAAUUGAGGGAUCUAUGGAAUCAGCCCUAACAGAGCCCUGCUACUUCCCCAGGUCUGUGCCAGAUGCAGCUAGGGGAACAUGGCAUAUUCCCCAGAGCGCUGUGGCCCCACUUGUUUUGAAGGAGCCCUCAGUAACAUUUGGCACAACAGAUAAAAUGAAUGUGCUGUUCCUGCCUUAGAAGUUCUCCAGUCCCUUCCCUAGAGUCUCUGGUGUAAUCGGAGGAGUCUCCAGGUUGCCUGUGCAGAGCCUGCUGCUGCCUAAGGACCGAGGAAACAAUGAUAUCAAGAAAGAAAAAUUGACUCGGAGUAUAGGAUAUUCAAAGCACAGUGGACUUACAAUUACUUUUUCAUGCAGUACAAGGAAAGAGCUGUGUGUUUGAUUUGCCAGAAUAUAGCAUCUGUGUUCAAAGAAUACAAUUUGCCUCGACAUUAUCAAACUCAACAUAAAGAUAAAUAUGAUAGUUUGGUUGGAGAAGUGAGAAAAGAUAAAAUAUUAAAAUUGACAACUCAGCAAAAUACUUUUGUGAAGCAGAAACAGCUAAAUACUUCAUCACUGUGAGCAAGUUUUCAAGUUGCCAAGAUAAUAGCGUGCACUGGCAGACCAUUCGUGGAGGGAGAAUUUGUUAAAGAAUGCCUUCUUUCUAUUGCCAAAGAGAUGCGUCCAGAGAAGGCUGAUUUAUUUAGUACAGUGAGUCUUUCAGGACCCUCAAUUACAUGAAGGAUUGAAGAAAUGGGAGACAAUUUGCAUCAGCAUUUGCAAAACUCCACAAAAAACUUUUCCUAUUUUUCCUUGGCACUUGACGAAAAUAAUGAUGUUCAUGAUUCUGCACAACUUCUAAUUUUUAUUCGUGGUACGAAUGACUAUUUGGAAGUCACAGAAGAGCUUGCUGCACUGCAAAGCAUCAAAGGAACAACUACAGGAGAGGAUAUUUAUGAAAAGGUUUGCCAAACUGUGAAUAGUUUGGAGCUGGACUGGGCAAAAUUAGCCAGUGUGACAACUGAUGGUGCUCCUAGGAUGGUGGAGUCUAAGAAAGGAGUAAUUGCUCGCAUUAACCAAGAGAUGGACAAACAUAACCAUUCUCAUCCAAUAGCCAUACACUGCCUCAUCCACCAACAAGCGCUGUGUAGUAAAUCACUGAAGUGGGACUCUUACUAUGAAAAACUGGAAUCUUGUGUUAACUUCACUAGAGGUAAUACACUAAACCACAGACAAUUUCAGGAAUUUCUGUCUGAGCUAAAUGUUGCCUGUGAAGAUGUUCCGUACCACACAGAAGUCCAUUGGCUGAGUCGAGGGAGAAUUUUGAAACAUUUCUAUGACUUACUUCUACAGAUUACAGCUUUUCUGCUUUCAAAAAACAAGUACCAGAGCUCAAUGAUGCAGAAUGGAAAUGGCACCUUGCCUUUCUGACAGAGGUAACAGAGUUACUCAACAGUUUCAAUGUGCAACUUCAAGGAAAGGGAAGCUCAUCUGUGCUAUGCAAUCACAUGUGAAAGCAUUCGAAGUAAAAUUAGGCCUCCUGAUCAAACAAGUGAAAGAGGAAAAUUUCUGCCAUCUCCCCACAACUCAAAAUCUGUUAGUGGAAAAUCCAUUGGUUGCAUUCCCAAAUAAAACAUGUGGAUUCACUGGAAAAGUUGCAAAAGGAGUUCCAAUUUAGAUUUAAAGAGCUUCAUCUCCAUAAACAGGACAUACAGCUUUUCCGUAACCCAUUUUCUAUUGACAUUGAAAAUGUGGAUACGAUUUACCAAAUCGUAUUUUCUGCUGAACUGCAGAAUUGUGACUCUCUGAAAGAUGCAUUCAAGUCAAGCAGCCUGCCUAAUUUCUAUGCACCUCUCCCCUCUGAGACAUAUUCUAAUCUCAGGAACCAUGCACUCAAAAUGGCAACCAUUUUUGGUAGCACUUAUGUCUGUGAACAGACUUUUUCCAGAAUGAAACAUCUGAAAUUUCCAACCAGAUCUAGACUAACUGAUGCAUACUUGCAUCACUUGUCACGACUAGCAGUGACAAAUAUGGAACCAAACAUCGACCAUCUCAUUAGCCAAAAGCAGGCCCAUAGUUCCCAUUGAAAUACUGGAUUAUCAGCUGGCCCCUGUCCCGUGUGUCUGGCUGGACCCCUUGAUGCUUAUAAGGUAUGAAUCCUGGGUGUUUCUCUAGAGAGUGCACUGAUGUUCAGGCUGCAAGGCCAAAGGCCUCAAGGUCCUGGGAGGGGAGACAAAGGCUGCUUCCCAUUGCUUACUUCCCCAUUGAGCCCACAGAUAAAGGGAGCCCCUCUCUUUUGCUCACUUAACCCUUCACAGUAUGAAGCACAGCAAGUGUGUACCUCGCUCCCCCCAGGGUUUCGAGUACUCUGGGGAAGCCAGGUGCCCUACAUCCCGGUGUGGGUGGGCAGUAGCUUGUUGAAGUGGGAAUAGGGCUGUGUUUUGGAGCCUGACAAUUAGCGUGGGUACUAUCACACAAUCCAAGACUUCCCAACCCAUUAGAUUUGCAAUGUUCCCCCAAAAGUUGGUCUUCCCUCUUAUUCUUUUAGCAGGGAAGCAUUAAUUAGAGCAGUGGUUCUCAAACUGGUCCCUGGACCAACCACCGUCAGCUUAGCUGGGAACUUAUAAGAAGUAGAAAUUCUUAUGUCUUACCCAGACCUGCUGAGUCAGACACCUAAAGUUUGAAAAGUAUCAUGUUAGACAAUCUUUGAGAAUCAGAGGCAGCUGCUGGAAUUAUAGGCUGCAGAUCUGGUCACUAACUCAUCUCCUGGUCUCUUAUUCCAGCUUGGCCCUUUUCUAAGCUGCUGGCAAUGCCUUACCUCCACGUUCACUCUGCCCUUUUGUGCCCCUGCAUUCGAAAGUGAUCGUGGGCUGCCUGUGCCCUGGUCAUUGAUAGUGCAGGGAGAGGAAUCACUGAAAGCAUUUCCCCGUGUUUGGAGGGUCCACACCUGUCCCUUCCAAACCCUGGAGCUUUCAAACAUGCCUUCUUACCAGCUUUCCUACCUUCUGGUGUCAAACACUCUGGUUUAUUGAGUGCCUUUUCUGACCUGCACCGUGUGAGGUACUAGGAGGCUUAAGGAAAGGGUGGUGAAACAGGGCCCUGCCUCAGGGAGUUGAUGUUUGUGGGCUAGUUUUAGAGCCACUGUAGCGGUCACCCUUCUCCUAGGGCUCCCCCUAGAAGAUUUUUCUGCCUCCCCAUUCACCCCUUUCCACGUCCCCAGCCCCACCUCUCAGGAGUGAUCGUGAGAGUUGUUAGUUUAUCACGCCCCCUGUGCUAUGAGCCUGUUGAGGGCAGUGCCCCUUUCUUGAUUGAUGUUGUGCCUGGUGCCUAAUAUGUAGCACCUGGGCAAAAAGAAAACAAGAAGACACGUCAUUGUACGGUGACAGGGCCCAUCCCGUUGAGCAGUGUCAGGGUGGAGAAUGCCCUUCGGCAAGCCGGCUGUUGCAGUCCACCUUUAGUCCUGGCCAUGGGAAGGGCCACGGUUGCCCCAGAACCCCCAAUCCCCCAGGAUUUUAUCUCUGCCUUAGAUUAAAGUGGCAGGGGCUGGCAUUCUUCCUUUCUUUUUUUGGGAUGCCACGCCAUUCUCUUGCUCCUUUUCUCCUCCCCCAUCUUCCCUUCUCUCACUUCCUUUUUUUUUAAGAGACAGAGUCUCACUUUAUCACCCUCGGUAGAGUGCUGUGCCGUCACAGCUCACAGCGACCUCCAACUCCUGGGCUUAGGCGAUUCUCCUGCCUCAGCCUUCAGAGUAGCUGGGACUACAGGUGCUCACAACACCUGGCUAUUUUAUGUUGCAGUUUAGCUGGGGCUGGGUUCGAACCCACCACCCUUGGUCUAUGGGGCUGGUGCCCUACUCAGUGAGCCACAGGCGCCGCCCCCUUCUCUCACUUCCUUCUCUCUUCUCUUCUCCACACUCUCUUCCCCUUUCUCUAAUAUUAAAUAAACUUAUACUUUUAUAUUAAAAAGAAAUAAAAAGUGGCAGGGACUAGAGUAGUAAUCAAAGUGAGCCAGGCACCAAGUGGUAGGACAUAGUGACACGGCCCUUACAUGCUAGACGGUGGGCCUGGGCCUUCUACCACCUGUUACCUAUCCCAGGUACCUGCUAGUUGCUGCCGGGCACAGGCCACUCCCCAAAACUUCCUGGCCUCAGUAUCCUGGGUUCUUUUGUUGUUUUAAAUAAAUUUUAGUGUUAAUAUUUGAGGUUUAUAACAUGAUGUUAUGGGAUAGUGGGUUACAUAUCAGAAUGGUUACUAUAGUGAAACAGAUUAAUCUGCCUGUCUCUGACAUAGUUACAUGUUUCAUAUGUGAUGUGAGCAGCUAAAAUUUAUUUAGUUAACAAAAAUCCCUAAUACAGUUUUGUUAACUAUGCGAUAGACUGUUCAUCCUACGUAUCUGCUACUUUGUACCCUUUGACCUCCAUCUCCCCACUCCUCUCCUGCCCCCAUUUGUAAUCACUAUUUUUUAUUGUCUAUGUGUGUUGGACUUUUUUUUUUUAACAUUCUGCACAAUGUAACUAAGAUUGUACAAUGCUUUUCUUUCCGUGUCUGGCUUAUUUCACUCAGCAUGGCGUCCUCCAGGUCCAUCCACGUUGCGGCAAAUGGCAGCAUCUCUCUUAUUUGUUUGCUUCUUUAUUUAUUUAUAUUAUUUUUCUACUAGGUAAGCUUUUAUCCCUUUAUCCCUCAUCCCCCAGGUCUCGCUUUCCGAAGGCUGAAUGACAUUCUGUUGCAUACGUGCAGCACGUUUUCUUUAUCCGUUUGUUAUUGCUGGACGCUUAGGUUGUGUCCACUUCUUAGCUAUUGUGAAUGUUGCCGCAGUGAUUGAGGAAGUGCAGACAUCUUUACAAGAUUUCUUCUCCUUGGUAAUGGCCGGAAGAGGGAGUGCUGGGUUUCAGCAUCCUUUUAACUUACACUGAUAGGUAACAAAUUGAUCUUCCUUGGCACAUAGAAGUCGUGGAUGUAUUCAUGUCAGAUGGUCUCCAGCCCCUUUCUAGUUAGAUUUUUCUUGUUCUUGCAGCUGUAAAGCUGUGAGGGUCACAGGCAGCAUUUGUGGGCUGCUUAUAGUCUGCCAGCCCCUGUGUCAGAUGCACUUUGUGUGUCUGUUGCAGGUGGACAUACUGUGUACACAGCCUCCGUGGGGUAUGUCAUCUUCAUAGCAGCAGGCCCCGUGGCGUGGGGCCCUGAGCCGUAGAUGCAGACUCUAUCCAAGGAAGUCUCAAGGCCAUGGAGUCGGUGAUCCUUGGAAUGAUCUGGCAUCUGGAUUUGCUGAUAUUUCUCACCAUGAAUCUGUUGGAUAAAGAGGAACAGAGAAUGGAGUGUGAGGUUGUCAUAUGAAACAUCACCAUAGCUGCUGCCUGCUCAGAGCAUUGUGGAACAACUGUUCACUCUGCAUAGGAAUUGGGUUCCAGACUUCAGCUGGUUCUGAAUUUUGACUACAGUGACUCUGUGGGGCCGUGGAAAGGGAAGGCCAGCCCUGUGUCCUUCUGCCUGUGCCUGGAAUGACUUUUUAAUAACCAAGGAUUUUCUUUUGAAUUUGUAGCUAUUCUAUAAAACUUAUAGACUUGCUCUGCCUGCCUUUUAAAUCAGUGACAACUCAAGAGCCUGCAAGGCUGGAUUGGGAGAAAGUAGGCUAUAGGCCCAAUCUUACUUUCACUCUUUGAGCCUUUCUUGUUUUUAACAAUCCAGAGGCUUGGCACAUAGGACAUUGUUUGAGGGUACAUUUGGGACUAGGAGGUAAACAAGUGCUAGGAAUUGGCUCAUAAUUAGGAUCCAUGAGAAUUGAGGACAUUGUAGGAUAGGCAGGGGUAUGGAGUGAGACAGUUCUGAUGUCAUUAAGGAAGUUUCGAGUGCCCUGGGGAUCUAAGACAUGGCUCAUACAUAAAUGCUCACUUGUGUGACAAACUGUCUUUAGUUUGCUGGGAUUGAGGGGUUUCCUAGGAAGUGGGACUUUCAUUGCUAAAACAGGGAGGUCUCAGGCAAAUUGGGAUGAGUUGGUCAGACUAUCUGGGAGGUAAAAUAGAUGGUGUCAGCUUGAUAGGAAAGAUUACUAAGUAAAGUUGGGAGAAGGAUGGCCAUGGAGCAGCUGCCACUGAUAAAACAAGGGCUGCCCUCAGGGCCAGGCUUUGGAGAUAACUGGGGUAAAGUCAGUUGUAACAGUGAGGUGACCUGCUAAGGAUGUGCAUGCUUCUUUUGUCCAUCUUACAGAGGGAGAGGUCUGUGAUGAAGGGGCACAGUUUAGGUGCCUCAUUUCUGCAUUUGAAAUUGAAACCAUGAGGCCAGGUGGUGGCUCAUGCCUGUAAUCCUAGAACGCUGGGAGACCAAGGUGGGUGGAUGCUUGAGCUCAGGAGGUUGAGAUCAGCCUGAGCAAGUGUGAGACCCUGUCUCUAAAAAAAAUGCCAGGUGUUGUGGGCAUCUGUAGACCCAGCUACUUGGGAGGCUGAGGCAUUGUACCCAAGAGUUUGAGGUUGCUGUGAACUAUGAUGACAUGGCACUCCACCGAGGGUGACCAAGUGACACUCUGUUUCAAAAAUAAAUAAAUAAAUAAAUAAACCUACCUUGGCUGCAGAGUUCAGGCUGCCUUGAUGAGUUUGGCACCUUGAUGGUUUCUGCAAGGGAAAGGCAGUCUUGCUGGUUCAAAUGCUCCACCCUGUCAACCAGUUUCCUGCAGGAGCAUGCAGAAGUCAAAGGUCCUUUUUCUGCCCUGCCUUUCCCUUCAGGGACUAUUUUUCAACUUAAGUUUGUCCCUGUAGUCACCUGGUUAUAACUGGCUGAAAAGAUACCAGGAGAAGGAAUCUGGGUUUAUAGGAGGAAGCCGGGACAGCUGAUGUCUGCUGCAGUGGGGCUGGAGGAGAGAUGUAGCAGCAGAGCACAGACUGGGACUGAGUAAGCCUACACAUUUCACCUGGGUCCAGAUCACACAUGCCUCUAACCCCAAAGGGUCUCUCUGUGGUCUCCAGGAAAUUACUGUUAUAUGAGUAUUAUAUCUAUGCUAACAUGUAUAAGGAGGCAUUGUUUGGAAAAUAAGGACAGAAAUUUAUAUACUAGAAUUUGUGUAAGAAUGUAAUUUUAUAUUUUGGUAGCUUUUUUUUGAAAUAAGAAUCUCAAAAAUAGAAAUUUUUAGGCUUGGUGCCUGUAGCACAGUGGUUAUGGUGCCAGCCACAUACACCAACGCUGGCGGGUUCGGACCCGGCUUGGGCCAGCUAAACAACAAUGAUAGCUGCAACCAAAAAGUAGCUGGGUGUUGUGGUGGGUGCCUGUAGUCCCAGCUACUUGGGAGGCUGAGGCAGGAGAAUCACUUAAGCCCAAGAGUCUGAGGUUGCUGUGAGCUGUGACGCCACAGCCGUCUACUGAGGGUAACAUAGUGAGACUCUGUCUCAAAAAAAAAAAUUUAUUAAGGGCGGUGCCUGUGGCUCAAAGGAGUAGGGUGCCGGCCCCAUAUGCCGGAGGUGGCGGGUUCAAACCCAGCCCUGGCCAAAAAAAAAAAAAAAAAAUUUAUUGAGGUUAUCGACAACUUCUAUCAUUCCCACUGUAGUGGUCAAUUCUCUUUCCUCUUGUUCAACCUCUCACUAGCAUUGGAAACAGUUGAUGUCUCCCUGCUCGAAUCAUUUUUCUUUACCUGGUUUCUGGGACAAGUCCUGGAUUCCCCCACCUCACCGUUCCUUCUCAGGGCCCUUUGCUCACACUUGCUCCUCUGUCCAGCCUCUAAUAUUGGAGUGUCCCAGGCUCCCACCUUGUUCUCCCUCUCCUUUCAUUUCCUAGGUAACUCAUCCAGUCUGUUGGUUUGAAGUAUCUUUCCCACCUAUAUUUCUAUCUCUUCCCUGGGCUCCAGGCUCAACAGCACCAAAUAUGUUCCCAGUGCACUUGGAUGUAUGCCAGGCAUCUUAAAAUUUGCAUGGACAAGCUGGGACUCCUGAUUCCUUCUCCUCAUGGUGCCAACAUCUCUUCUCAUUUUGGUAAAUAUUCCAUCCCACAUCCAUUCCCUAAUCAAGUCAAAUCCUUAGGGGUCUUUUCUUCAAUCGGGCCCUCCCCCAGCCUGCAGACCCUAGCAAGCCCUGUCAGUGCUAGUGUCCACAGUUCAGCCACUUCCCACAAUACUGCUCACACAAGCUACCUCAUGUCUUCCCUGGACUAGCGCAAUAACUUCUUUUUAAAAUUUUACUUAUUUUUUUGUUCUAUCCCAUCUAGGUUUUGUUCUAUUCCAUCUAGUAACAAAUGACUUUUUUUUUUUUUUUUUGCAACAGUCUUACUCUGUUGCCCCAGGUUAAAGUGCUGUGGCAUUGGCCUACUCAUAGCAACCUCAAACUCCUGGGUUCAAGCAGUCCUUUCUCAGCUUGAGUAGCUGGGAAUACAGGUGCCCACCAUGAUGCCUGCUUAAUUUUCCUAUUAGUGGAGGCAAGGGUCACAUUCUUGAGACUUGGUCUUGAACUCCUGAGCUCAAGGGAUUCUCCUGCCUUGGCUUCCCAGAGGGCUAGGAUUAUAGGUGUGAGCCACCGUGCCUGGCCAACGGGUAAUUUCUUGGCUGUAGCUGUCGCCGUGGUUCCCUCUUAUUCCCUAGCAGCCAGAGUCAUCUUUUAAAAAAUGUUAAUCAGAUGUUUAAAACUCUCCUGUGGGUCCUCAUCUCCCUUAGGAUAAAGUCUAAACCGCACACAAAAAGUGUUAGGCUGACCCUGGGAAAGAGGUUGGCCCCUCCCAUCUUGGAGACUGGCUAGCACAGUCCAUUCCCCAAGAGAUGACUCAAUUUCUUCACUCCUCAUAUCUGAUCAAUAAAGGGAUACUGAAACGUGUGCGAAAGGGGCCUGUGGGUGUGUGGGAAUGAGAAAAUUGGCGUUACUCUAAGGUGAGGAGGUGGGCAAGAGUUAUGUACUCUUCCAGUUAGAAAAGUUUGAUUUCCCCCUCUAAUAAUAAAUUUAGUGGUUCCUUCACUAUUGUCUGUAUUAAUAACACUUGAUCACAAUGUUCCAUAGUCCUAAAAUAAGCUUAGCAAGCAGUAGGGUGCAUAGGGGUGGCUGGUGGUGGGAAAAAAGGGCCAUUUUGGCUGGGCCUCUUUUUCUCAAAGGGCCUCUCAUUUAGAAUCUGAUGUUAAUCCUCAAAGAUACAUUUGUCAGUCUUUAUAGGACCAAUAUUGGCUGUGGUGCUCUGAAUUUAUUAGAAAAAAAACAAAAAACAGUUCAGGUGUGAACUAUAGUUCUAGCACUUUGGGGGCUGAGGUGGGAGGAUUGCUGAGAACAGGAGUUUGAGACUGGCCAGGGCAACAUAGUGAGACCCCAUCUCUACAAAAAAAUAAUAGAUGGGUGCUGUGGCACACACCUGUGAAUAGCUAUGGGGGAGGCUGAGGCAGGAGGUGACAGUAAGCUAUGGUUGUGGCAGUAUGCUCUAGCCUGAGCAACAGAACCAGACCCCAUCUCUUAAAAACAAAACAUCCUACAUUUAUCUUGUAAAUAGCACAGUUAUUUUGCAUAGUAUUUUUGUGUAUUUGAAUAGUGUUUGUUAAAUAUCUAAAUCUUUCUAUAUUUUGUAAAUUAAAUCUAUGAACCUAUUUAGAGUUUCUUCUUUUUCAAUAUUCCAAAAGCCCCAGUGGAAAAGAUCAGAGCUUGUUAAGAGGCUCAGAAUUGUUUUUGGAGCAGGAUUAGGGGUAUUUAGGGGAUGAUGAAAAUGUUCUGGAAUUAAAUAGUGGUGAUGGUCGUACAACUCUGUGAAUAUGCUAAAAACCAUACUCAAAAAGGAUGAAUUUUAUGUAUGUGAAUUAUAUCUCAAUAAAGUUAUUAUUUAAAAAUGUACAACUUUGCACAACUGGCACAUGUUUGACAUUUGGUGCCUCAAAGAUGGUGCUCCUCAAACCUCUUGGACUUUUUUUUUGGUCAGUGCUGUGCAGUAGAAAUAUAAUAUGAGCCACAUCUACAAUUUAAAAUUAUCUAUUAACUGGGCCUGGAUGCGGCGGCUCACGUCUGUAAUCCUAGCACUCUGGGAGGCUGAGGGGGGUGGAUUACUUGAGCUCAGGAGUUCGAGGGCGGCGCCUGUGGCUCAGUUGGUAAGGCGCCGGCCCCAUAUACCGAGGGUGGCAGGUUCAAACCCGGUCCCAGCUGAACUGCAACCAAAA